rnacentral:rRNA from 1 species
AUAAUUUAAGGUCUGACCUGCCCACUGAAGUAUUUUAAAUGGCCGCAGUAAAUUGACUGUGCAAAGGUAGCAUAAUCAUUAGUUUUUUAAUUAAAAGCUUGUAUGAAUGGUUUGACGAAAUAAAAUCUGUCUCUAAAUAACAAUAAGAAUUUAAUUUUUAAGUUAAAAAGCUUAAAUAAUAUUAAAAGACGAGAAGACCCUAUAGAUCUUUAUAUAACAUUUUAUAUUUUUAUUUAAGAUUUUUAUAUUUAUUAUAUUAUUUUAUAUUUUAUUGGGGUAAUAAAAAGAUUAAAUAAAUUCUUUUUAAAUUUAUACAAAGAUUAUUGUUUAUAUGAUCCUUUAUUAAAGAUAAUAAGAUUAAGUUACCUUAGGGAUAACAGCGUAAUUUUUUUGGAGAGUUCAUAUCGAUAAAAAAGUUUGCGACCUCGAUGUUGGAUUAAAAAUUAUUCUAGGUGUAGUAGUUUAGAAAUUUUGGUCUGUUCGACCAUUAAAUUUUUACAUGAUCUGAGUUCAGACCGGUGUAAGCCAGGUCGGUUUCUAUCUUUAUUAAAUUAUUAUAUUUUAGUACGAAAGGACCAAAUAUAAAAUAUAUUAAUAUUUGUUUUUUGAAUAU